UACGGAGGAUGCAAGCGUUAUCCGGAAUGAUUGGGCGUAAAGCGUCCGCAGGUGGCUGUGUAAGUCUGCUGUCAAAGAGCAAAGCUCAACUUUGUAAAGGCAGUGGAAACUACACGGCUAGAGUGCGUUCGGGGCAGAGGGAAUUCCUGGUGUAGCGGUGAAAUGCGUAGAGAUCAGGAAGAACACCGGUGGCGAAGGCGGCAUGCUGGACCUCAACUGACGCUGAGGCGCGAAAGCCAGGGGAGCAAACGGG
rnacentral:rRNA from 1 species